AUACGGAGGGGGCAAGCGUUAUUCGGAAUUAUUGGGCGUAAAGAGUACGUAGGCGGCCUACUAAGUCAGAUGUGAAAGCCCAGGGCUCAACCUUGGAACUGCAUUUGAAACUGGUAGGCUAGAGUAUGGUAGAGGGGGGUAGAAUUUCUGGUGUAGCGGUGAAAUGCGUAGAUAUCAGAAGGAAUACCAGUGGCGAAGGCGGCCCCCUGGCCCAAUACUGACGCUGCGGUACGAAAGCGUGGGUAGCGAACGGGAUUAGAAACCCCAGUAGUCC
rnacentral:rRNA from 1 species